GAUGAACGCUGGCGGUGUGCCUAAUACAUGCAAGUCGAGCGACCGGACGAGAAGAUUGCUUCUCUGAUGUUAGCGGCGGGCGGGUGAGUAACACGUGCAUAACCUUCCUAUAAGACUUGGGUAAUUUCGGGCGACCAGAGCUACUACCCGAUAAUAUUUUCAACCGGAUUGUUCAAUAGAGAAAGCCGGUCUUGCCGUCACAUAUAGAUGGAUCCGCGCUGCAUUAGCUAGUUGGUAAGGUAACGGCUUACCAAGGCAACGAUGCAUAGCCGGCCUGAGAGGGUGAUCGGCCACACUGGAACUGAGACACGGUCCAGACUCCUACGGGAGGCAGCAGUAGGGAAUCUUCGGCAAUGGGCGAAAGCCUGACGGAGCAACACCGCGUGAGUGAUGAAGGUCUUCGGAUUGUAAAACUCUGUUAUUAGGGAAGAACAGAUGUAUAUGUAACUGCGCACAUCUUGACGGUACCUAAAGAGAAAGCCACGGCUAACUACGUG
rnacentral:rRNA from 1 species